GGUACGUGUGAGAAUAGGCCUAGCUAUAUAUGUAAUGACAAUAUUCAGUCUUUACUACAAAAUCAAAUUAAAAAUGGAAAUUUCAAAAAUACUUCUUAACAAUAUUUAAAUAAUUCUGAGAACUCUUUCUUCGAGUGAUAAGUAUAACUUAUAACUAAGUACAAAGCAAUAAAAAUAUCAAAUACUGUUCACCUUACCAAGAUAUGAAUAAUCCGUUUUAAAUAUUUUAGCGUUGUGGUUCGUGUAGAACAAGCAAUAUUAAUAUUGUAUUCUUUUUUCUUCAACACAGCAGAUGAACCUGGGAAUAAAAAUGGAUCCAAGGGU